rnacentral:tRNA from 1 species
GGUUGUGUAGUGUAGUGGUUAUCACAUUGGAUUUUGAUAGCUCCCUAUCCUUCCAAUAACCCCGGUUCGAGCCCGGGCACGACCU